rnacentral:lncRNA from 1 species
CCGUUUAGUAUUUGGGUCGGAAUCUGAGUUGAGUCAAGCAUGACGGAUCCUUUAUAUUUCAUUUUUCUUAUUCUUCUUUCACACUCAUCGACAUUCUGCACAACCCUAAAACCAAAGCCGUUCAUCUUGAUCUUGGUUCAAUAAUCCUUCGUCAAUCCAAGGUGAUUUGUGAAGAAAUCAUUCUUUCCAUAAAUCUGUAAAUGUGCUUCUGCUUCAAUCCAUCUUCUUCCACUCAUGUUUGAUCAUCCAAGAUUCAUGUUAAGCGAUUCCAUAUACAUUGAAAGAGAAACAAUCUAUUUUGGUUUAAGAUUAGUGGUGAUAUUUUUUAUAAUGGAUACAAACUAGAAGAAUUUGUUCCCUAGAGAACUGCUGCCUAUAUAAGUCAAAAUGAUUUGCAUAUUCUCGAGAUGACUAUUGGGGAAACACUUGAUUUCUCAUCCCGUUUUCAGAGAUUAUGAUGGAGGUUAACAGAAGGGAGAAAGAAGGAGGGAUUAUUCCAGAUCCAGAUAUAGACACUUUUAUUAAGGUAAUGUACUUAUAUGAUUUGAAUUGAUUAUGUAAGCCUAUGGGAUCUUAUUCCUACAAAGCAAGCUUACAAGUUGGGUUUUUGCAGUCAAUUAUAAUCGCUUUAUCCAUAGAAUCCUUUAUUUGUCAUAUUAAAGGGUUAUUUUAUGAUUAAGUUACUAGUUGAGCCAAACGCCCCAGUAUUUCAUUUUUUCAUGGGACAAAGAGAGUAUGUGUUUUCUGGGUUCUUGAUAAUGGUUUCAAAUGAAUAGUGGAGAAGAGAAGUUGCUUUUGUUGGGUUUGAUGUUGCAAUACAAAUGGAUAUUUUUGCUGAAAAAAUGUCAUUUGGCGUAUCGGGGGUUAAUCCUCAGAGAAGAGAAGAGUUGAGCUAAUUAAGGUAGGUCCCAUUCUUCACUAUUUCUUAUA